rnacentral:lncRNA from 1 species
AGCGGUGUAGUCCAGCAAGCUCCAACCUUCAUCCAUCCGAGAAGAGCAGCUUGGGCUUCACGGUCACAUGUCUCAGCAUCUUCAUUCCAUGAGAUGAUCCAGAAGCUCUAGCACGUAAGAAAAAAACACGUAGCCUUAGUCCAACUUCCAUCCUCACUGUGCAACCUGCAGCAGAAUGAAGGUGCACACAACCCAACUCUCUCCACGCGGACAACAACACUCUCGGCCCAGCUUCAGCUAACACCACCAACACGGUCUGAUGAGAAAAAU